AACGAACGCUGGCGGCAGGCCUAACACAUGCAAGUCGAACGCCGUAGCAAUACGGAGUGGCAGACGGGUGAGUAACGCGUGGGAACAUACCCUCCGGUUCGGAAUAACUCAGGGAAACUUGAGCUAAUACCGGAUACGUCCAAGGUUUUAAUCGGCCUUGGAGAAAGAUUUAUCGCCGGAGGAUUGGCCCGCGUCUGAUUAGCUUGUUGGUGAGGUAAUGGCUCACCAAGGCGACGAUCAGUAGCUGGUCUGAGAGGAUGAUCAGCCACAUUGGGACUGAGACACGGCCCAAACUCCUACGGGAGGCAGCAGUGGGGAAUAUUGGACAAUGGGGGCGAACCCUGAUCCAGCAAUGCCGCGUGAGUGAUGAAGGCCUUAGGGUUGU
rnacentral:rRNA from 1 species